GCACUCUGCCCGUGGCCGCCCGGACCCGGCUGCCCGGCGCGCUGCCAUGGAGCGCAUCGAGGGCGCGGCCGUGGGCCGCUGCGCAGACUCGCCCUACCUGCGGCCUCUCACGCUGCACUACCGCCAGCCCCCACAGUCCACCCUCCACUUGCUGACAGGAUACGUCUCUUUGCAGCGACUUGAGAACGGCACUCAGAAGUCGUGGGACUUCAUGAAGACACAUGACAGUGUGGCCAUUCUCAUGUUCAACUCUUCCCGGCAGAGCCUGGUGUUGGUGAAGCAGUUCCGGCCAGCUGUGUACGUGGGCGAGGUGGAGCGCCUCUUCCCCGGGUCCCUGGCGGCCGUGGCCCAGGACGGACCCCGGGCGCUGCAGGUGGAGCUGCCUGGCUCGGCGGGGGUGACCUGCGAGCUGUGCGCCGGCCUCGUGGGCCAGCCCGGGCUCUCGCUGGAGGACGUGGCCUGUGUGGAGGUUUGGGAGGAGUGCGGCUACUGGCUGGCUCCCUCCGACCUGCGCCGGGUCGCCACCUACAAGCGUCCUCCUCGGCGCUGGGGUCCCAGAGGAUCUGAGGGGCCCGAUCUGGAGCUGGCGUUGAGCCGGGAGGAGGCACUCUGGAAGGUGGGCGACCCCAGAUGAGGUGAGCCCGGGCGGAGUCGUGGCAGAGAGGCCGGCCCAAGCGCGGCCCAGGCUGCAGCGUUUCCACAAGCAGGGCUGUGGCUUGAUCGUGAGGGUGCUGGGGAGCCCAGGAGGGCUCUAGGCAGCAAGCAGCAUGGUAAAGACUUGCGUUUUGGAGGCAAGGGGUGGCUGUGGCAGGGGGGCAGGACUGAGGGGCUGGAGGAGAGGUCAGGGCAGCUGUCCCUGCGGACCCGGGGGCUGGACAGACAGCAGAGAGAUCUCGUGCCUUUUCUUCAUGUGGAGGUGAACCAGGCCACUCACCUGCCGGGCACAGGUGACGAGGCCCGAAGGCACAUUCCUCUUGCUCUGGGUCAAAGGCUGUGCCUGUGUCCUUCACAAGCUGGCGGAACCUGGGACCGGAAACCCCACACGCUGGCGCUUCCAUCAAAGGCGCGGCCUGUGGCCACCGUUGUAAACAGGCCGUCGGGAGCGGACUGUGGCAGAUAAGAGCCUGGGGCGGGGGAAGCAGCUAGGUGAGGCGGGGCGGGAUGGGGUUGGCCCUCCUGGGGGGUGGGGCACGGAAGCUCUGUCAGCCGUCUCUGCCCUCCGCGCCCGGGCAGGUCUGCGAGAGCAGCCUCCGCCCUGCGGGUGUCUGGCUGGCCCGGCGCCCCCGGUCCCCCCGCCCCCCCCGCCCCCCGCACACUCACGCGGGACCUUCCCCUGCGGCUCUGGGACGCGGGCGGGCCCCGCCGUGGCCCUGCCCUCACAGACGGCAGUUCCCGUGGCUGCCCGUUCUCGCCAGUCUGGGCCACCGCACUUCCCCUGGGUGUCUGCCCCCCUCCUGGCGGCCAGCGGCCCGCUCUGGCCACCUGUCCACACCCCUCCACGCCCCAGCUGCCUCAGCAUGGCUGUCCCCAGCCUGGAACUGGUGUCCUGCAGAUGCUGGGGUUGGGGGCUCUCACGGGGCAGGUCACACGGGUCGCCAGGAGGGCCCUUGCUUCCAGCCCGCCUGGAGCCUCGGGUGGGAAGGGAGGCCCUGGCUGAGGGGCUCGCGUGAGCAGAGGGCAGCGGCCUGCCUGGCGUCUGCACUGCCGAAUGUGGCAGAGACCUCGCGGCUUCCGUCAGCCCACAGUUAGGACCUCGAAGUCGCUGCGGGUCAGCCGUCUGCGUCUUGGGAACGGGGCCCAGCGCUCAGGGUUUUGCUGUCCUGCAGUCAGGGUCGGCUGGGCUCGUCUGGGGCUCGGGACCCCCUUCCCAGCGCACACGGUCGCGGGAGAACUCAGCUUCUUGUGGCUGUGUGACCGAGGGCCCCGUUUCCUGGCUGGCUGGUGGCCGGGGGCCACAGUCAGCAGCUUAAGGCCACCUGCGGGCCUGGACCACGUGGCCCCCUCACAGGGCAGCAUGCUUUGUCCGCAAGGCCUGCGGGACGGGCUCGUCUCUCUGACUUCCUCCGUCUCCCCUCUCCAAACCUGCACUGAAGAGCUCACCCAGUUCGGUUAGGCCCACCAACGUGAUCUCUGUGGACGAGUCAAAGUCAUCUGAUUAAGGCCCUUAGUUACACCUGCAGAACCCUUCUGUCUCUGCCAGUGACAUAAGAAUCACAGAAGCCACACCCAGCAUACUGCCAGGUCUGGCGUGGGACUGACCGGCUCCAGCCAGACCAUGUUCUACGCAGAGGUGACCGAUUCCCAGCGGAGCGGCCCGGGCGGGGGCCUGGCAG